AUACGGAGGGUGCAAGCGUUAUCCGGAUUUAUGGGGUUUAAAGGGUGCGUAGGCGGAUCGGUCAGUCAGUGGUGAAAUCCCAUAGCUUAACUAUGGAACUGCCAUUGAUACUGCCAAUCUCGAGUAUAGUUGAAGUGGAUGGAAUGUAACAUGUAGCGGUGAAAUGCAUAGAUAUGUUACAGAACACCGAUUGCGAAGGCAGUUCACUAAACUAUUACUGACGCUGAGGCACGAAAGCGUGGGGAGCGAACAGGAUUAGAUACCCCAGUAGUCC
rnacentral:rRNA from 1 species